GAUAGCCCUCACCAGGACUCUGGUUCUGUACCCUCAGGUCAUGGCUGAUCAUCCCUUCUUCUUCAUCAUCAGAAACCGCAGGACAGGUUCUAUCCUGUUCAUGGGCAGGGUUAUGACGCCAGAGGUCAUUGAGCCUACCGACUUCGACAAUGACUCCAUGUAACUAUGAAGACGGCCAAUUGGAUUCCAGUGUGCUGCUAUCCUGCUAUGAGGUCAUAUGCUCAAAACCAAUCAGAUCCAGGCAAAACGAGGCCAUAAACACAACCUUUCCUCUCCCCAUCGCUGGCUGUGUUUUUAUACUCUUAUCGAGAAUAUAUAUUAUUCCUAUUCUAUAUAUUAUAUAUACAUAUAAUGUGACUGUGUUUUGAUACUGUAAGCUUUAACCACAAGAGAGAAGGAGAGAGAUGUAAAUACACAACAUGACCAAAAGUAUGUGGACACCUGCUCAUCGAACAUCUCAUUCCAAACUCAUGGGCAUUAAUAUGGAGUUGGUCCCCCCUUUGCUACUAUAACAGCCUCCACUCUUCUGGGAAGGCUUUCCACUAGAUGUUGGAACAUUGCUGCUAUAACAGCCUCCACUCUUCUGGGAAGGCUUUCCACUAGAUGUUGGAACAUUGCUGCUAUAACAGCCUCCACUCCUCUGGGAAGACGUUCCACUAGAUGCUGGAACAUUGCUGCUAUAACAGCCUCCACUCAUCUGGGAAGACGUUCCACUAGAUGCUGGAACAUUGCUUUGGGGACUUACUUCCAUUCAGCCACAAGAGCAUUAAUGAGGUCAGGCACUGAUGUUAGGUGAUUAGGCCUGGCUCACGGUCGGCGUUACAAUUCAUCCCAAAGGUGUUCGAUGGGGUUGAGGUCAGGACUCUGUGCAGGCCAGUCAAGUUCUCUCACACUGAUCUCGACAAACCAUUUCCGUAUCGCUUUGUGCACGGGGGCAUUGUUAUGCUUAAACAGGAAAGGGCCUUCCCCAAACUGUUGCCACAAAGUUGGAAGCACAGAAUUGUCUAGAAUGUCAUUGUAUACUGUAGCGUUAAUAUUUCUCUUCACAGGAACUAAGGAGCCUGAACCGUGAAAAACAGCACCAGACCAUUAUUCCUCAUCCACCAAACUUUACAGUUGGCACUAUGCAUUGGGGCAGGUAGUGUUCUCCUGGCAUCCGCCAAACCCAGAUUCGUCCGUCAGAUUGCUAGAUGGUUAAGCAUGAUUCAUCGCUCCAGAGAAGGCGUUUCCACUGCUCCACAGACCAAUGGCGGCGAGCUUUACACCACUCCAGCCGAUGCUUAGCAUUCCGCAUGGUGAUCUGAGGCUUGUGUGCGGCUUCUCGGCCAUGGAAACUCAUUUCAUGAAGCUCCCGACAAACAGUUCUUGUGCUGACGUUGCUUCCAGAGGCAGUUUGGAACUCGGUAGUGAGUGUUGCAACCGAGGACAGAAGUUGUACACGCUACGAACUUCAGCACUCAGCAGUCCCGUUCUGUGAGCUUGUGUGGCCUACCACUUUGCAGCUGAGCCGUUGUUGCUCCUAGACGUUUCCACUUCACAAUAACAGCACUUAGUUGACCGGGGCAGGUCUAGCAGGGCAAACAUUUGAGGAACUGAAUUGUUGGAAAGGUGCACGUUGAAAGUCACUGAGCUCUUCAGUACGGAUCAUUCUACUGCCAAUGUUUGUCUAUGGAGAUUGCAUGGCUGUGUGCUCGAUUUUAUUACGCUUGUCAGCAACGGGUGUGGUUGAAAUAGCCGAAUUCGCUAAUUUGAAUGGGUGUCCACAUACUUUUGAAAAUAUUAAAGAAAAGUCAUGUUUUCUAUUAUCUAUUGGAUCAGUAGAAAUAAAUUAUAUAUCCAUGCACUGCUCCUUUAAAUUCACUAGCCUCACACACACACACACACAUACACUGUCGUUUUAAGGUGUGUCUCCCAAACCACCACCAUCAUAUCCUUGUACAUUAACUACUGUCUUAGAUACCAGACUAGAUAUUUAUUGCAACAACAACAACAACAAAAAUGUGUGCAGAUAAUUUAUGUAUUUAAUCACACAGAAUCUUAGUAAUUCUAUCUUGGUUCCUCUUUUUUUUUCUCUUUUUUAUGCUAAAAGUACUUGGUUACAAUCCUGAUGAACUAAUAUGCCUUAUGAGUUGUUGAUUUUAGUGGAGGUGUUUUUUAGCAGGUAGGUGAACAGGUUGCUAAGAGGUGUGUGCAGUUGGAGAUGGCGAUGAAACAGGGAGAAAUUAUAAACACCAGCUGUAUUUACUCUUUUACUUGAAAAUUAAAUAUCAUCGUGUUCCAGUUACAAUUGUCUGGUGUCUUUUUGUAUAUAAUUGUAUAUAAUUGUAUUUGGUAACACUACUUUAUAUUAAAUUGCUCUUAUACCUG